GUCAUAGUCAUUUGAUGAAGUCAUUUCAUGGGAAGGAUAUUCUCUGAGUUAAAAAAAAAAAAAAGAAAGAAAAGAAAAAAAGAAUUAGCAUUUGAGAUCAUGGAAGUUCCCCAUCUGUAGACACAGUCUUAGAGAAUGCUGCAGUUAGUGGGUGAGCAUUUGGUUCGAGGGCUCAUUAAUCAGUGUUGUUGGGUUGGGGUCUCCUGAGCCUUCUGGGUUUGGGGAGAAUCGGCUUCUGUAAUUAAAGGGAUGAAAUAUAUCACAGUCACAAACUCACCACGUCGACAGUUGAGGGUUUUGAACUAGCAGAAUUAAUCUCUUUAAUUUUUUUCCUUAGGUGUUUAAAAUAGAAGUGCUAAUGAACGGAAGAAAACAUUUUGUUGAGAAACGGUACAGUGAAUUCCAUGCCUUGCACAAAAAGGUAACCUUUGGUUUCAUGCUUUUUCUCCGUAUGGCCUGUGGUAUAGUGUUAAGACUGCUCUGUGAUCCUCAGAGUGUUACGGUCUACUGUUUCUUUAUAAUGGCAUUAAUUUUUAAAAAGUAGAUUGUUCAGUCAGUGUGUUUGGGUUUUUUUAAUAAGUGGAUUUCCUGUUACCAUUGCUUAUGUAUUCAACUCUGAGGCAGCAGACUGUUGGCAGUAUAUUGCACGGGAUAUUAAAGGCUUAUCUAUCAUGAAUGAGGCCAACAACCUCCUCUGUCCAAGAAAUGCGUUACAAUGUUCUUUAGGAAA
rnacentral:lncRNA from 1 species